rnacentral:rRNA from 1 species
GACGAACGCUGGCGGCGUGCCUAAUACAUGCAAGUAGAACGCACAGUUUAUACCGUAGCUUGCUACACCAUAAACUGUGAGUUGCGAACGGGUGAGUAACGCGUAGGUAACCUGCCUGGUAGCGGGGGAUAACUAUUGGAAACGAUAGCUAAUACCGCAUAAUAUUGAUUAUUGCAUGAUAAUUGAUUGAAAGAUGCUAUUGCAUCACUACCAGAUGGACCUGCGUUGUAUUAGCUAGUAGGUGAGGUAACGGCUCACCUAGGCGACGAUACAUAGCCGACCUGAGAGGGUGAUCGGCCACACUGGGACUGAGACACGGCCCAGACUCCUACGGGAGGCAGCAGUAGGGAAUCUUCGGCAAGGGACGAAAGUCUGACCGAGCAACGCCGCGUGAGUGAAGAAGGUUUUCGGAUCGUAAAGCUCUGUUGUAAGAGAAGAACGGGUGUGAGAGUGGAAAGUUCACACUGUGACGGUAUCUUACCAGAAAGGGACGGCUAACUACGUG